CUACGGGGGGCUGUAGUGGGGAAUAUUGGACAAUGGGCGAAAGCCUGAUCCAGCCAUGCCGCGUGUGUGAAGAAGGCCUUCGGGUUGUAAAGCACUUUCAGUGGGGAAGAAAGCCUUGGGGCUAAUACCCUCGAGGAAGGACAUCACCCACAGAAGAAGCACCGGCUAACUCCGUGCCAGCAGCCGCGGUAAUACGGAGGGUGCGAGCGUUAAUCGGAAUUACUGGGCGUAAAGCGCGCGUAGGCGGUCUGAUAAGCCGGUUGUGAAAGCCCCGGGCUCAACCUGGGAACGGCAUCCGGAACUGUCAGGCUAGAGUGCAGGAGAGGAAGGUAGAAUUCCCGGUGUAGCGGUGAAAUGCGUAGAGAUCGGGAGGAAUACCAGUGGCGAAGGCGGCCUUCUGGACUGACACUGACGCUGAGGUGCGAAAGCGUGGGUAGCAAACAGGAUUAGAUACCCCAGUAGUC
rnacentral:rRNA from 1 species